rnacentral:rRNA from 1 species
UACAGAGGAUGCAAGCGUUAUCCGGAAUGAUUGGGCGUAAAGCGUCUGUAGGUGGCUUUUUAAGUCCGCCGUCAAAUCCCAGGGCUCAACUCUGGACAGGCGGUGGAAACUACCGAGCUGGAGUACGGUAGGGGCAGAGGGAAUUUCCGGUGGAGCGGUGAAAUGCGUAGAGAUCCGGAGGAACACCGAAGGCGAAGGCAGUCUCCUGGCAAGUUACUGACGCUCAGGUGCGAAAGCUAGGGGAGCGAACAGG